UUCUCACUGAAUGCAUUCUCAAUCCACCUGAUGCCAGCAUGCCUGCUGAUUGUAAAAAUCCAUUUGGAAAAACUGGGCUGAAUAGGUCUGCUCUUUGGAUUUAAUCCUAAGAGCUCUAAAUGGGAAGAAGGGCAGAAACCUGAUGGCUCCCGACUAGGAUCCAUUGCAGAGGCACAGCUCAUGGCUUCAGGAUUGAGAAGAACAAACUGAACUGAAUCAAGGGACGGACUGUGGACCUGCAGCAUUAGGUGGGGACACCACCCACCCAGCUCCAGUUAUAUCAGGGCUUGAAGGAAAAGAAGAUUGCACAAAGUUGAAAGCGUUCUUGGAGUGGCAAACAGCAAUCGAUGAAACAAGUUUGUCUCUCCCUGCUGGCUUAGCAUCUGAGAAGGCCCAAGUCAAGAAAGAGAGAAAGGGCUGGAUGGAGAGCAACGAGGAGAAGAAAAGCGCGCUCAGGGCCAAAACAAAGGGACCUUCUCUGUAAGGCGAUGGAAUCAACGCUUGCCUUCAGCGCUGGUAGAGCCAAAGACCCAAGCUGCGUGUGGCCAUGGAUUCAUCUCCUCCAUAAAUUUAUCCAAUUCACUUUUAAAUCUGAAGGGCCCCUUUCCCAACAGGAUUGCACCUACAAAGGCAGAACUUCUGAGUCUCUCUCCAGAUAGAAUAACUUCCAGUCUGUUUCUGGGAUCAAUUCAAAGGAUGGAUCAGCAUUUAACACGCGUGGGAGCUGUUUUGAACAUUAGAGGAAAGGCCUCCCUGGAAAAAUUAAAUCUAACCACUGCUCGCAGACAUUAUGAAUGAGACGGACACAAAAGGAUCUAAAGUAAUGGCACAUACAUGUUUAGAAUAAAGAAGAAGCCAGAAAGAGAUUUUACUGCUUCAAACAAAUAUGGCAAGCUAAAACGUUGACCGUGGAAAGUACCAGUUGUAGUGAAGUCAAAUCUACCCAAAUAUAACUCGCAAGUGACCCCCAAUUUCUUGCUUUUAUCAUUCAACGUAUGACAGAAUGUUCAGAUUCAAAGCACACCAAACCACACAAAGGCAUACACCUGCUUUUUAAGCCUUUUCGUAAACGGUAUUUUAAAUUCAAUUUAAUAAAUGAGAAUUACAGUAUACAUGCUUAUUUCUGGAUAAUCCCCUUGAAACAGUUUAUUUAUUUAUCUAUUUAUUUCUGAGAGGGUCGCUGUUCAGCGAUCAGGAUGAUUUCCAAAGUGAAACAUGGCAGAAGGUUUAGAUUGCUGCUGUUAACAAAAUAUAAUCAAGUCCCUUGAAUAUGGAGCCGAAGACUUCUUAGAAGAUAGCAUGCAAAACAAUCAAAAUAGUAAGAGCCUUCCUUUUUGCAACCAUCAGAGGAUGCAGUAAGUGACGAAGAAGGUAGUGCUCGAUCUAAUUAGCAAAACUAAAAUUGAGACUCAGUUGACUAAAUAAUUAUCGUUAUAAACAAAAUAGUCUUUGGGGCCAAAGAUAUCUUACACCUUUUUCCCCCCUAUUUUGAUUGGUGCUGCAGGGGGAAAAAAGGGUAUUUGUCCUUGCUGUUCCUUUAACUGCAGUGAUUUAACCCCACAGCCAGGGAAUAUUCCAGUGUAGCAAGCCAUUGUGACAUCACAGAAAGAAAAUUCCACGCCAUUCCAGAAUGUCUUAGAUACUGUAUUGGGGUCAGUGCAAUUUGUCCCCCAGAAGUACUGUUGCCAAGCCCUGUAUUAUUUUUUUCCCCAUAAAUAAAACAGUCCAAUUAAUUUUAAUAUUUUCCAGCCUAUGCAUCUAAGUCCAUCAGAAGGGAUGUCAUAGAAUGAAAAUAUUAAUGAGGUCUGUGCUAAUUUGCGGUUGAAAUAAGGCGGCUUCCAUUAUAAAUUGGAGAGCUUCUGUAUUAACCUCUAACGAUGGAGGAAAAUCAACCCGUUUCAACUGAUUACUUAAGCCAGCUCCAGUUACAUUUGCCCAACGAAUUUGAAUUCCAAUCAUUUUGCAUACUAUUUCCACCUAUCUAAUUGUCUGCUGGCCCUUCUUACUUAUUAUGCGAAAGUGCGGGCGCUGCUUCCCCCUCUUUUUGAAGCAUGAAGAAUGAAAUUAUUUUGUAUGCAAACAGUUAAAACUCUCCUGUGUAUUCCCAUUCUCUGUGUGUUGAUAAAUUCACUUACGAUGAGUGACAGUCGGAGGGUUUUGGAGGUCAGAUUGGUCACUAUUUCCGUGACACUGAUGGAAAUGAUAAACUAAAUGCCAGAAGUGUCCUGGGUGCAUCAUAUGAUGAAAUGUGUGAAAUGUCAGGGUCUAGCCAGGAUCUAUUAAUAACUAAAUAUGAUUGUGUGUAAUGAGCAGAUAUUUUCAUGUUGAUUGAAGUAUGAUUCCUUUUGAUCCUCCAGAUGUUGCUGCUUAGAAAUUCAUACUGCUCUUUGGCUGCUAAAUGCAUAAUGACCUUUUAAAACCUUUUUAACUUAAAAAAAAAAAAACCCUUAGUAUUUUAAAUGUGGAAGUCAAACUGGUGAGCUGCUUCUUUCAUGCAGGUUUAAAGUUUCUUUUUCUUUUCUUCCAUCCUUUUUCUUUUUACCUUCUGAUCUUUUUUUUUUUCCUGGUCCUUUUUAUCCACCCUGUCCUCUCACCAACUAUUGUGGGAAAAAUGGAUCACAUAUAGGAGGAAGGGGAAGAAAAGCAAUAGUUAACUUGCAUGUGUUUUGAUGAUUGAUUUAUUAAGUGUUAAUUUUUAAUGUUCCCCACAUCCAUAAGCCUUUAGACCUGAAAACAGACUGGGUCCCUUGAACUUAAAUAACCAGCAGGACAAACCUGAUCAACUUAGUAUAUGUAUAAAAGCAGUGUGCUCCUUCUGUGACUUUUUCAGAUGAACUCUUUUAUUAAUAUUUUCUGGACUUUUGACCAACAAACUAUGAUUCUCCCCUGGUGCAUUAUCUAUUUCACAGUUGCAUAACUUUUGGGCGGCCAAGGAUCACAUUUAGCUUCUGAAUAGUUUGUCAGGAUUGUGCUCUAAAAAGCAGGACAAAAA